AUGCGAUGAUGAGUGAAGCGCAGUCUGACCUGGUAUUGCCGCUCCUCGUUGCCGGCUCUGACCGGGGCGUGAUCGCUUAAUCUUCUCUCUGAGCUG